rnacentral:ncRNA from 25 species
GGCACUUAGGUUUGUGGUUGAAAAUCCAUGCCAGCUACGGGCGAAAGGAUCCACGUAAGCCGAGUAUUCGGUGAUCAUGGCGUAGUCUAGAAUAUAAGUCCUGCGGCUAAGGCCGAGGCAACUGUGGGGUCAAAGACCAGGUCAACUAAGUGCC